rnacentral:rRNA from 1 species
GAUGAACGCUGGCGGCGUGCCUAAUACAUGCAAGUCGAGCGAACAGACGAGGAGCUUGCUCCUCUGACGUUAGCGGCGGACGGGUGAGUAACACGUGGAUAACCUACCUAUAAGACUGGGAUAACUUCGGGAAACCGGAGCUAAUACAGGAUAAAAUAUUGAACCGCAUGGUUCAAUAGUGAAAGACGGUUUUGAUGUCACUUAAUGAUGGAUCCGUGCCGGAUUAGCUAGUUGGUAAGGUAACGGCUUACCAAGGCAACGAUGCGUAGCCGACCUGAGAGGGUGACCGGCCACACUGGAACUGAGACACGGUCCAGACUCCUACGGGAGGCAGCAGUAGGGAAUCUUCCGCAAUGGGCGAAAGCUUGACGGAGCAACGCCGCGUGAGUGAUGAAGGUCUUCGGAUCGUAAAACACUGUUAUUAGGGAAGAACAAAUGUGUAAGUAACUAUGCACGUCUUGACGGUACCUAAUCAGAAAGCCACGGCUAACUACGUG